rnacentral:misc_RNA from 1 species
UCCGGUUUGUCACCGGCAGUCCCAUUAGAGUGCCCAACUUAAUGUGGCAACUAAUGGCAAGGGUUGCGCUCGUUGCGGGACUUAACCCAACAUCUCACGACACGAGCUGACGACAGCCAUGCAGCACCUGUGUCCAGGUUCCCUUUCGGGCACCCCUCCAUCUCUGGAGGGUUCCUGGCAUGUCAAGGGUAGGUAAGGUGGGGAUGACGUCAAGGUACGGAC